GAUGAACGCUGGCGGCGUGCCUUAUACAUGCAAGUCGAGCGAACAGACGAGGAGCUUGCUCCUCUGACGUUAGCGGCGGACGGGUGAGUAACACGUGGAUAACCUACCUAUAAGACUGGGAUAACUUCGGGAAACCGAAGCUAAUACCGGAUAAUAUAUUGAACCGCAUGGUUCAAUAGUGAAAGACGGUUUUGCUGUCACUUAUAGAUGGAUCCGCGCCGCAUUAGCUAGUUGGUAAGGUAACGGCUUACCAAGGCAACGAUGCGUAGCCGACCUGAGAGGGUGAUCGGCCACACUGGAACUGAGACACGGUCCAGACUCCUACGGGAGGCAGCAGUAGGGAAUCUUCCGCAAUGGGCGAAAGCCUGACGGAGCAACGCCGCGUGAGUGAUGAAGGUCUUCGGAUCGUAAAACUCUGUUAUUAGGGAAGAACAAAUGUGUAAGUAACUAUGCACGUCUUGACGGUACCUAAUCAGAAAGCCACGGCUAACUACGUG
rnacentral:rRNA from 1 species